UCAUUACACUAACACACACACUGCAUUCAUUACACUGACACAUACUCUGCAUUCAUUAUACUGACACACACGCUGCAUUCAUUACACUGACAUACACACUGCAUUCAUUACACUGACACACACUCUGCAUUCAUUACACUGACACACACUGCAUUCAUUAUACUGACACACACUCUGCAUUCAUUACCCUAACACACACUGCAUUCAUUAC